GUGGAAAAGUAUUUCAACUGUACAAAAUAUAAAGAAAAGGUAAAAUACUUAAAGAUAAAAAGUCUUUAUUAAUCUCAAUUCAUCAUAUAUUGCAGAAAAAUUGCACAUAUAUAAACAUAUGUUUGUAUUAAAAUAUUACACAAACUAGAAAUUCUGUAUAUACACUAAAACUAUUUAUAAAAGAGAAGUCCAUGUUAUCUUAAAACUACAAUUUGUGAUUGCAUCAAAAUUUCUUAUUCUUAUCAGCUGCUGGUCAACCAUCUCUUGAUCAACAAUAUAACCUCUCCCCCCUCCCAAGAAAAACAUGCCAAUUAAAAAGUAUUCUUUGAAUAUGUCAAAAGGCGAUAUAUUAUUGAUGCUGCCAAAUAUCCCUAUGAUUUCCUGUAGGGAUUUAAUUAGUUUUGAUUACUCUUCUAGUCUUGGACUGAAGAAGGGCCAGGUAAUAUUAAACACAAUGAAUAAUUCAACACAUCAAUUCAAUUCUGGGAAUGCACAUUUGGGCUAUUUGGUAUAAUAUUUGGAAUCAAAUUUAAAUAAAAAUCUACAUUUGGGCUAAUACUCCCAUUUACAGAUAAAUAACAGGUAGCAUAUCUACAUUUCAAUUACAUACUUAUAUUUGAUACAUACAUGUAUUAUGAAAUUCUAUUUAUAACAUAUUCUUGUUUUAUGUACUCAUUCCCUUUACCAGAUAAAUGUCUUCUCCCUUGCUAACCACAGAAAGGUGGAAGACAUGUUUUAAGCAAGAUCAAUCUAAUAAUAACCCUAAAUAACUUAUUAAAACAACUGACAAAGUUCAGGGUUGAGUUUAAUAUCGUAGCGGCUACGUAGCUGCUAUCAAUAUCUAUGUAGCAACUAGUCUGUAGCUACAUGUUCAAUAGUCAAAAUCUACGUAGCACUACGUAGCCGCUACGAUAUUGAACUCAACCCAGGUAUAAAACAGCUGCAUGAAUGUUAAGGUUAAAAUGUACACCUAAUCAAUUGUUCUUAAAGAUUGUAUCUGGCCCUGAAUUUAAAGCGAACAGCCCUAAAAACUGUAGUGCUGUGUUACUGCCUGAUCUCAACUAUAAACUAAUUAACAUUUAAUGGUGUAAAACUUCAAGUUCCUUUUUUUCAAACUAGCAUAGUUUUCAAAAGACAAGAUUUAUGUUGGAUGUGUUUUUAAAAUUAUUUCUAAAAUGAUAUUUUGUAUAUUUUACAUCAAAUAUUGAUUUUUAAGUAUAUCAUAUGUUAUAUAACAGUACAGGAAGAAACAUUUAUUUAGUCUAAAUGUAAACUUGUAUCUCCAUAAGUUUUAGCCCACCUGAUAGCAUUGUCACGUAAUUGAUUUAGCCCAAAUGUCGAUUUAGCCCAAAUGUCUUUUACCAAUAUUUUUAAUAUAAGACCUUUAGGAUUAUUUUUUUCAGAAAAUUCAUAAAAUAUGUCAUGGUAUAUUUGUAACUAAAAAGUACAGAAUAAUGAAGUUAUGAUAUUUAUAAAUGAUUUUACAUGAAAAUAUAAUAAGUUAAUAUUUAGAACUGAAAAAAAUACAUAAAAU
rnacentral:lncRNA from 1 species